CCAAUAGCGUAUAUUAAAGUUGUUGCAGUUAAAAAGCUCGUAGUUGAACUUCGGGGUUUACCCAUUGGUCAGGCUUAAUUGUCUGUACUGGUGAGAUAAAUCUCUACCUUCUGAGGAACUUUCAUGCCAUUUAUUUGGUGUGAUUGGAAAUCAGGACUAUUACUUUGAAAAAAUUAGAGUGUUUAAAGCAGGCUAACGUCUGAAUAUAUUAGCAUGGAAUAAUGAAAUAGGACGGCUUGGUUCUAUUUCGUUGGUUUCUAGGAUCACCGUAAUGAUUAAUAGGGAUGGUUGGGGGCAUUAGUAUUCAAUUUUCAGAUGUGAAAUUCUUGGAUUUAUUGAAGACUAACUACUGCGAAAGCAUUUGCCAAGGAUGUUUUCAUUAAUCAAGAACGAAAGUUAGGGGAUCGAAGACGAUCAGAUACCGUCGUAGUCUUAACCAUAAACUAUGCCGACUAGGGAUCGGACGAAGUUAAUUUUAUAAUGACGCGUUCGGCACCUUACG
rnacentral:rRNA from 1 species